rnacentral:rRNA from 1 species
UACGUAGGAGGCAAGCGUUGUCCGGAAUUACUGGGCGUAAAGCGCGUGUAGGUGGUGGGACAAGUCUGCUGUGAAAGUGCCUGGCUUAACCGGGCGAGGUCGGCGGAAACUGUCCGACUCGAGGACGGUAGAGGGGGGUGGAAUUCCCGGUGUAGUGGUGAAAUGCGUAGAGAUCGGGAGGAACACCAGUGGCGAAGGCGGCUCACUGGACUGGUAUUGACGCUGAGGUGCGAAAGCGUGGGGAGCAAACAGG